rnacentral:rRNA from 1 species
UUGUAGUCUGCAACUCGACUACANGAAGCUGGAAUCGCUAGUAAUCGCGAAUCAGCAUGUCGCGGUGAAUACGUUCCCGGGUCUUGUACACACCGCCCGUCACACCAUGGGAGUUGGUAACGCCCGAAGCCAGUGACCCAACCUUAAGAGGAGGGAGCUGUCGAAGGUGGGACCGAUAACUGGGGUGAAGUCGUAACAAGGUACC